rnacentral:rRNA from 1 species
UACGAAGGGUGCAAGCGUUACUCGGAAUUACUGGGCGUAAAGCGUGCGUAGGUGGUUUGUUAAGUCUGUUGUGAAAUCCCCGGGCUCAACCUGGGAAUUGCGAUGGAGACUGCAAGGCUAGAAUCUGGCAGAGGGGGGUAGAAUUCCACGUGUAGCAGUGAAAUGCGUAGAGAUGUGGAGGAACACCGAUGGCGAAGGCAGCCCCCUGGGUCAAGAUUGACGCUCAUGCACGAAAGCGUGGGGAGCAAACAGG